rnacentral:rRNA from 1 species
UACGUAGGGUGCGAGCGUUGUCCGGAAUUACUGGGCGUAAAGAGCUCGUAGGUGGUUUGUCACGUCGUCUGUGAAAUUCCGGGGCUUAACCUCGGGCGUGCAGGCGAUACGGGCAAUACUUGAGUGCUGUAGGGGAGACUGGAAUUCCUGGUGUAGCGGUGAAAUGCGCAGAUAUCAGGAGGAACACCAAUGGCGAAGGUAGGUCUCUGGGCAGUUACUGACGCUGAGGAGCGAAAGCAUGGGUAGCGAACCGGAUUAGAUACCCGUGUA